rnacentral:rRNA from 1 species
CCUACGGGAGGCAGCAGUGAGGAAUAUUGGUCAAUGGACGAGAGUCUGAACCAGCCAAGUAGCGUGAAGGAUGACUGCCCUAUGGGUUGUACACUUCUUUUAUAAAGGAAUAAAACGAGGCAAGUGUGCCUUUUUGCAUGUACUUUAUGAAUAAGGAUCGGCUAACUCCGUCCCAGCAGCCGCGGUAAUACGGAGGAUCCGAGCGUUAUCCGGAUUUAUUGGGUUGAAAGGGAGCGUAGAUGGGUUGUUAAGUCAGUUGUGAAAGUUUGCGGCUCAACCGUAAAAUUGCAAGUGAUACUGGCAGUCUUGAGUACAGUUGAGGUAGGCGGAAUUCGUGGUGUAGCGGUGAAAUGCUUAGAUAUCACGAAGAACCCCGAUUGCGAAGGCAGCUUACUAAACUGUGACUGACAUUGAUGCUCGGAAGUGUGGGUAUCAAACAGGAUUAGAUACCCUGGUAGUC